rnacentral:rRNA from 1 species
UAGAGUUUGAUCCUGGCUCAGGACGAACGCUGGCGGCGUGCUUAACACAUGCAAGUCGAGCGGUAAGGCCUUUCGGGGUACACGAGCGGCGAACGGGUGAGUAACACGUGAGUAAUCUGCCCUCCACUUGGGGAUAAGCACUCGAAAGGGUGUCUAAUACCUGAUAUGACAUGGGCCUGCAUGGGUUUGUGUGGAAAGUUUUUUUCGGUGGGGGAUGUGCUCGCGGCCUAUCAGCUUGUUGGUGAGGUAAUGGCUCACCAAGGCUUCGACGGGUAGCCGGCCUGAGAGGGUGACCGGCCACACUGGGACUGAGACACGGCCCAGACUCCUACGGGAGGCAGCAGUGGGGAAUAUUGGACAAUGGGCGGAAGCCUGAUCCAGCAACGCCGCGUGAGGGAUGACUGCCUUCGGGUUGUAAACCUCUUUCGUCCCUGACGAAGCGCCUGUAAGGGUGGUGACGGUAGGGGAAGAAGAAGCACCGGCCAACUACGUG